UACGUAGGGUGCAAGCGUUGUCCGGAAUUAUUGGGCGUAAAGGGCUCGUAGGCGGUCCAUCGCGUCGGGAGUGAAAAGCUGGGGCUUAACCCCAGUCCUGCUUCCGAUACGGGUGGACUAGAGGUAGGUAGGGGAGAUCGGAAUUCCUGGUGUAGCGGUGAAAUGCGCAGAUAUCAGGAGGAACACCGGUGGCGAAGGCGGAUCUCUGGGCCUUACCUGACGCUGAAGCGCGAAAGUCAGGGGAGCGAACAGG
rnacentral:rRNA from 1 species